GCAGGUGCCAAUUCCAGGAGAAGCACGACUGAGAAUCCACUUUAUCAAGGAGGGCGAUUGGGACCGGAGGCCAUCGGGGGAAUCACAGGGCUCUCUGUCCUGUGUCUGGCUCUAUUGAUUUAUCUGCUGGUGAAGAAAGUUGCAGCUAAACAGAGAUGUCCAAGGAAACAGAUCCCAAACCGCAGCACCGAGAACAUGCCCACGGACGAGCAGAUCCUCUAUGCCAACAUCGGCGAGUUCAGCGCAGUCAGGCUUCCUCGGGACCAGGAAAACAAGACUGCAACAUAUGCCACCAUAGGGAAAAUCCGCGGCAGGCCCAGCUAAUGCUCCAGCUUCUAAAACACAGCACAGCCUGCACCUGCUGCCUGCAUUGACUCUGAAAUGGCGGGCACUGAAGUGGCCAGUGGGCUAAUCACUGAGUCACCUUCAAACUUUCUAAAGUUUUAGGGAAAGUCUUUCUGCUCCGUGUCUCUUUCUUCAGACCCCUCCCAGCUCUUACCUGCUCUCCAACAUAUCAGCACUCUCUGGGUGCCUUUCUCAUAGCCUCCCCCAUCCCUGCUCCCCU
rnacentral:lncRNA from 1 species